AUCCUGUCUACCGACAGUGGUCAAUGACAGGUGCCCCAGAGGGAGUGAACCUAACAGAGUGGAAACCAAGCAACUUGCCGAGAUUGCACUCAUGUUCACCAUAAGAUUUCUGUUGUCCAGUGUCAUCACCUGUGCCAUACAGCAUUUACAUUAGUUCACUACUUAAAAGAGUUCUUUAAAGGCUGAAAAGCAAACCUGCAUAGUUACAAAACUGCAGAAUCUUCACACCUUGCUUUUGAGGAUACAGCUCCCCAUUCUAAUUAGAAGAAUAGGACAAGAGUGAGAGUGCAAGAUGCCAGAGUGAUGGGCAUGGUUUCGGAAUAUGAAGGAAUAGAAUAUUCUGUGACUUUUCCUCAAGCGGAGUAGUAAUUUACUGCAGGAAUAAUCCCAUUGUGUAUAAGUAAUGGAAACAGUAUCUGGACAUUAGCCAC